rnacentral:rRNA from 1 species
UAGUAACGGCGAGUGAAGCGGGAUGAGCUCAAAUUUGAAAUCUGGCUGGUUUACUAGUCCGAGUUGUAAUUUAAAGAAGCGUUUUCGGUGGCAGCCUGGGUAUAAAUCCUUUGGAAUAGGGUAUCAUAGAGGGUGAGAAUCCCGUCUUUGACCUAGUGCAUGCUACUAUGUGAUACGUUUUCAAAGAGUCGAGUUGUUUGGGAAUGCAGCUCAAAAUGGGUGGUAAAUUUCAUCUAAAGCUAAAUAUUGGCGAGAGACCGAUAGCGAACAAGUACCGUGAGGGAAAGAUGAAAAGAACUUUGAAAAGAGAGUUAAACAGUGCGUGAAAUUGUUGAAAGGGAAACGUUUGACACCAGUCAUGUGGGUGGAAAAUCAGUCUUUUGCAUUGGGGAGUUGUAAGGGUUCGGACCGCAAGGCCGGCUUUUGCUUCAUCUUUGGUGUAAGUGAUGCACUUUUUCAUCUACAGGUCAACAUCAGUUUCUUUUGCUGGACAAAACUCCGAGAGAAGGUAGCAGCUUAGGCUGUGUUAUAGCUCUGGAGCGAUACAGUGAAGGGGACUGAGGUUUUCGCAGCGUGUGCUCUCGGGCAAGGCUGGAUGGGUGCUAUGGGAUCGUUCGGGGUACAAUGCCUGGCAUUUUGCUUCGUGUCUUUUCUAUACUCGCUCAACUCAGCUCUUCCACGCUUAGGAUGUUGACUUAAUGGUUUUAAACGACCCGUCUUGAAACACGGACCAAGGAGUCUAACAUAUAUGCAAGUGUUUGGGUGGCAAACCCAUGCGCGUAAUGAAAGUGAACGUAGGUGCGAUCCGCAAGGUGCAGCAUCGACCGAUCUUGAUAUUUUUGGAUAGAUUUGAGUAAGAGCAUAUAUGCUGGGACCCGAAAGAUGGUGAACUAUGCCUGAAUAGGGUGAAGCCAGAGGAAACUCUGGUGGAGGCUCGUAGCGAUUCUGACGUGCAAAUCGAUCGUCAAAUUUGGGUAUAGGGGCGAAAGACUAAUCGAA